rnacentral:rRNA from 1 species
CAGCCGCCACGGGAACACGAAGGGGGCUAGCGUUGCUCGGAAUCGCUGGGCGUAAAGGGUGCGUAGGCGGGUCUUUAAGUCAGGGGUGAAAUCCUGGAGCUCAACUCCAGAACUGCCUUUGAUACUGAAGAUCUUGAGUUCGGGAGAGGUGAGUGGAACUGCGAGUGUAGAGGUGAAAUUCGUAGAUAUUCGCAAGAACACCAGUGGCGAGGGCGGCUCACUGGCCCGAUACUGACGCUGAGGCACGAAAGCGUGGGGAGCAAACAGGAUUAGAUACCCCCGUAGUCCCUGUCUCUUAUAA